rnacentral:lncRNA from 1 species
AAGCGGAAGCCUCCGCGGCGGUGACGUCCGGCCGGGGAAGGAGCCGUGGUUGAAGUUGCGGGUCGGGGAUCGGGUCCGCCUGAGGCGCCGCCAGCGGCACCGACCGCGCGGGACGAUGAGGCGGGCAGAGAUGAAGCACGGGAAAUCAUCAUCUCCAAAGGAUUUACCUGGAGUAAAAGAUCACUGACC